GACGAACGCUGGCGGCGUGCUUAACACAUGCAAGUCGAGCGGAAAGGCCCUGCUUUUGUGUGGUGCUCGAGUGGCGAACGGGUGAGUAACACGUGAGUAACCUGCCCUUUACUUUGGGAUAACUUCAGGAAACUGUGGCUAGUGCCGGCUAGGAUCUCCUGCUUAAUGGUGGAGGUUGGCACGUUUCGGCGGGUGUGGAUGUACUCGCGGCGUAUCAGCUUGUUGGUGGGGUAGUGGCUUACCAAGGCUUUGACGGGUAGCCGGCCUGGGAGGGUGACCGGCAACAUUGGGACUGGAACAGGGACCCGACUCCGACGGGAGGCAGCAGUGGGGAAUAUGACACAAUGGGAGGGAGCGUGAUGCAGCAACGCCGCGUGCGGGAUGACGGCCUUCGGGUUGUAAACCGAUUUCGCCUGUGACGAAGAGUGAGUGACGGUAAUGGGUAAAGAAGCCCCGGCUAACUACGUG
rnacentral:rRNA from 1 species